rnacentral:piRNA from 2 species
UAGGCUUUGUCUUUGGUUCAGAAAUGCAUU